UAGGGGUUAGUGGCGGAGGAGGGGACACAGCAGUAGCGGGCUGAGGGGAGGAGGUAAGGGUUGGGAGGAAGCACCCCAUAACUCCGAGACCAAAUCUGCAGACAGUGAGAACCCUGAGUGACCUGGGAGCGCCACACGCCUUCGGCAAACUGAUGUAAGGAGACUGGCGUGGUGAGUUUUGUUUCCCCUGGAAAAGGGCCGGCAUUUGUGUGUAUGGGCCUGUGCCCUGCCCAGGACCUUUGGUCCCGAGUGGGCUCUCACCUGCUAAAAUUCCAAACAGCUCAGGUGAGACAGAGAGUUGGAAAUUUAACUUGGGGUAGAAACCAGUUUUGGAUAUAGCUGAAGUCUGCUGGUUAAACUUGUGUAGUCUGUUAGCUUGUGUGCUUGCAAAAAGGCCUGCAGAGAGAACAAAGGAAGUUCAAGGCCACUUAGAAAGGAAUGCAAGCAUCCAAGCUGAAGAGGAGGCCCCCACCGUCGGAAAAAGUGAAUCUGGGUUGCAAGCUUGCCAUCCACCUGCCAAACCCUCAGUGAUUUUGUCUCCAUCCCUGGAAGUGCCACUACAGAACCAGAAUCCCAGCCUUGCCAUGCACUUGCCAGCCCCAGAGUGACUUUGUCUCCAUCCCUGGAAGUGCCAUCGCAGACCCAG